UUUUUGUACACAAAGUUAAAACAUAUUGUUACUUAACACGUGAAUCGGUAUAUAUAUAUCCUUUCUACAUAUUAACCAUCACUUGUCACAGAUACUUUUCUGAUAUAGGGAUACAUUAGCAGGAUUAUUCUAGUAAUUGUAACUUUCUUGUUCAUAAUAUGUGGGAAUUAAGGAAGACAGCAUGUCUUAAGAUAAGAUGAGCAUGAUAGGAGUAGAUCUCGUCAGCCAUGGAUGGCCAGAACUGACACGAUAUAUGGGCAGAUAUGACCUCACUAAGGGCAGAGUGAAG